CUUGCACUUCAGCAUCCUUCUGUUUGUCUUGAUUUGGAUGCAGGUCAGUAGGAAGACAGGAGUUCCUCACACACUGCUUAUGCACAAAGACCAGUUAUCUUUACUGUGUGCAGUUUUUUGGGGUUUUUUGUCCUUUUAUGAUGUUUCUGGCUUCUCUUCACACUCUUUAGAAAUGGGCUGGUCUGCCUGGAGAGAGACUUUCUAACAGCAUAACUCCUUGGACAAGCAGGACUGAAGCAUCUUCACUUUGCAUGGGGAGAACUGUCUGUCUGUAAAAGGAGAGAUUAAGCAGGAGAGUAAGCAGAGAGGGACCACAAACUCCCCUUAGCAGUAACUACCCAGAAGGUAGUUGGAGAGUCUCCAAAGCUGACCUCCAUGUGUCUUGCAUCGCCUCGUCUCCUUUCAUGCCACUUUCAUGUGACAGACCCCACGAAGAGUGCCUGGAGGCUGCACUGUACCACAUUCAUUAUUUUGUCAGAGCUGCCGUGUCUGCCAAAUGGUGGCCAGACACUCAGACAGACUUUCCCAAUUAGCAGAGUCCUGCAGCUGAUGUCUGGGGCUUGCAUGUGUUUUCCCUGCCUGUUACCACAGCCGAGAUGCUGGCCGGCUCCACAUGGCCUGGGGUAGGUAUCCACCUCGGCCGCUGGGCUGGAGAGAAGCAGCUGGGCUUUCUUGAAAGCUGUGGUUUCCCUCGGCUCCUCUUGUUUGGCUGUGAAAGGCUCCUGUUUGGGUGUUUCAUCCUUUGAUCCCUCUGUGGCCUGGGUGGAGUUGGAGCCUCCAGUGUGACUUGUCUGGGUCAUGGCACAGGCCUUGGCAUCCUCUUCAACCUCUGGAGAGAGCUACUCUGCACGCUCACCAUGGUGGAACCUACAGGACGUCUGUGUGUGGGGCUGGCUGCUGGCACGACUCAGUCUCCAGCAGCACUUAGGAGCUACACCUAGACAUGAGGAUGCUGGAAAGCCGUGCCCAAAGAAAUGGUCCUUCUCUCAGGAGCUUGCAGACCAGAGGUGGUCCUGGGGAAAAAGCUGGUUACUGCGAGGUUUAUUGGCAACAGCAAUGGAGAUGAGCAGAGGCUGCUUCUGAAUCGAACCCAACCAGACUGCAGCUUUGUUUGGCACCGAACUUUCCUCCUGAGAUGAUCGCACAAGAAGUCUUUUAUCACUUGGGGGGCUCUGAGCCAGAGCUGCUUGUGGUGGAAGUCGCCGGGACUGUAACCCCGGGCUGUCGUGGGACGAGAGUCAAGCUGGGGCUGUCAGCAAGGCGAGUUGCAGCAGUCGGAGCCCCUGCCAGGACACGUCAGUACUUCUGAGCGUGCUUCCCCUGGUGCUGCUCUCGUUAAGGAAAAGGUAUGAAAUCCACAUCUAGACUGAAUUCGACCUUUAAAAAAAAUUAAGUGUUGUCUCAAAUAUAAAUCCUGUCCAGAAUCGUGGUCUAAUUCCUUAGGAAAUCACUAUAAUUCCAACCUACCCUGCUCCCCACUGCCUAAUAACAUCGUGUCGCAUCUCGGUUUUCUCACAGAGCUGAUUCACCUCCGGUGCCGUUUGCGCAGCGUUGGCUUCAGCACCAUCAGAUCUGCUUGAUGCCCAGUUUUGUGUCAAGGAAGGAGGGCCCUGCUCGAGCUAACAGACUGCUGCUCUCUCCAGACGUUGGCAAGCUCUUACUCACAGCUUCUUCCCUGCAUCGUUUCACAAUACCAGCCAACAAUACCUUGAGGAGGGGUCUGUGACACUGAGCCCAAGAAAUGCUGUCAGUAACAUUUCCCACAGGGUAAGGAAGAUUCCAGCUGUUUAUUUUCCCAACCAUGUUUUGCUGAAGAAACAAUUUUAAAGGGGAAAAAGAAAAAACCACGUUAUUGUGUAAGCGAGAUGGAAAACAGCUUUCUGCGGGUUCCCAGGUAUUUAUGUGCCAUUCUCUCUGCAACGUUAUUAGCAACAACACUGCCUGUGGCUGGCUGACUAUUGAGUGAGGAUGGUUUUGCAACAGCUGUGUGCACAGUACCUUCCUUCACAAGCAAUGCCUUUUCCCUGGCUGUCCCCAUGGCUCAGGUUUAUUUGUAUGCAGGGCAACUGCGAGGUUAUCGAGACUUUC
rnacentral:lncRNA from 1 species